UUUAUCGUUAAUAAACAAGCUUUUGCAGAAUUACGGUUGUUGGUAAAUUAAAAGCUUACCAAGCCUUUGAUUCUUAGCUGAUUUGGGAGAAUGAUCAGCCACAUUAGGAUUGAAAAACGCCUAACUUUUUUCGGAAAGCAGCAGUGGGGAAUCUUGGACAAUAGGCGAAAGCAUGAUCCAGCAAGGCCACGUGAGUGAUUGAAGGGUGAUCGUAAAACUCUUAAAUUAGUGAACAUAAUGAGCUAAACUAAAAAAAAGUCCUGACUAACAUCUGUGCCAGCAGUCGCGGUAAUACAGAGAGGGCUAGUGUUAUUCAUAAUUAAUGGGCGUAAAGGGUACGUAGGUGGUUUAUUUUUUUUUAAGUAAAAAACAAAAGCUUAACUUUGCACUGCUUUUAAUAUUUCUAAACUAGAGUCUAAAAGAGGUUAGUGGUACUUUUAGUGGAGGGGUGAAAUCUAUAGAUAUUAAAAGGACCGUCAUUAAGCGAAGGCAACUUUCCAUUUUAGAACUGACGCUGAUGUACAAAAGCUUAGGUAGCAAACAGGAUUAGAUACCCUGGUAGUCUUAUUGCUGUGACCGAUGAAUGUUCAAUAUAGGGUUUGUAUAAAAAUUAAAUUCUGUAUUAAAGCUAACGCAUUAAACAUUCCGCCUGGGUACUACGGUCGCAAGAUUAAAACUCAAAGGAAUUGACGGAGAUCUAUACAAACGGUGGAACAUGUGGUUUAAUUCGAUACAACGCGAAAAAUCUUACCAGAAUUUGAC
rnacentral:rRNA from 1 species